rnacentral:precursor_RNA from 1 species
AAUAGCGUAUAUUAAGUUGCUGCAGUUAAAAAGCUCGUAGUUGGAUUUCUGGUACGGCGUGCCUGGCCCGCGCCGUUAGGUGUGAGUGCCGGGUCGCGCCUGCCAUCCUUCUAGAUAGCGGCUCUACCCCUCACGGGGCCGGAGUUUGCCGUCUAGAUCUUUUACUUUGAAAAAAUUAGAGUGUUUCAAGCAGGCUUAUGCUAUGAAUACAUUAGCAUGGAAUAAUCAACUAGGACUUCGGUUCUAUUUUGUUGGUUUCUAGGACUGAAGUAAUGAUUGAUAGGGAUAGUUGGGGGUGCCAGUAUUCAGCGGCCAGAGGUGAAAUUCUCGGAUUCGCUGAAGACUAACUAAUGCGAAAGCAUUCACCAAGUUUGUUUUCUUUAAUCAAGAACGAAAGUUGGGGGAUCGAAGACGAUCAGAUACCGUCGUAGUCUCAACCAUAAACUAUGCCGACUAGGGAUGGGUGAACGUUGUUUUCGACUUCAUCCGCACCUUAUGAGAAAUCAAAGUCCUUGGGUUCCGGGGGGAGUAUGGUCGCAAGGCUGAAACUUAAAGGAAUUGACGGAAGGGCACCACCAGGAGUGGAGCCUGCGGCUUAAUUUGACUCAACGCGGGGAAACUUACCAGGUCCAGACACAGUGAGGAUUGACAGAUUGAAGAUCUUUCUUGAU